GAUGAACGCUGGCGGCGUGCUUAACACAUGCAAGUCGAACGAAGCACUUUAUUUGAUUUCCUUCGGGACUGAUUAUUUUGUGACUGAGUGGCGGACGGGUGAGUAACGCGUGGGUAACCUGCCUUGUACAGGGGGAUAACAGUUGGAAACGGCUGCUAAUACCGCAUAAGCGCCCGGCAUCGCAUGAUGCAGUGUGAAAAACUCCGGUGGUAUAAGAUGGACCCGCGUUGGAUUAGCUAGUUGGUGAGGUACCGGCCUACCAAGGCGACGAUCCAUAGCCGACAUGAGAGGGAGACGAGCUACACUGGAACUGAGCCACGGUCCAGACUGAGAGGGGAGGCAGCAGGAGGGAAUCUAGCGAAAUGGGCGAAAGCCUGACGGAGCAACGACGAGUGAGUGAUGAAGGUCUUCGGAUCGUAAAACUCUGUUAUUAGGGAAGAACAAAGGUGUAAGUAACUAUGCACGUCUUGACGGUAACUAAUCAGAAAGCUACGGCUAACUACGUG
rnacentral:rRNA from 1 species